rnacentral:lncRNA from 1 species
GAUCUCUAGUGAUAUGUUUGUAAAGAAGAGAAAGGAUUCUUCAAAUUUAUUCAUUUCAGUUUAUAUGAUUCUUUCUACAUGAGAGAUCGAUCUAUAGCGGUAGUCUGGUAGAUCGUGUUAUAUGAAUCGCGACUCUGGUCCUAGUUUGCAAACAAAUCAACGUUGGACACUGUCACAUGGACCGAGAGAAUCACGAAGAUACAAUGCUGGCCUCUGAGUUGUCAUUCAAAGCAAAGAAACUUCAUGAAUAACUAGGCAAGCAAAAAAAAAAAAAAUUAGAUCAUAUGGUCAUCUAUGGAGGCUGACAGCAGACACAAAGUUGAGUAAUGUACCAUUAAUAGAAAUUGAAACAAAAACAAAAACUUUAUGGUUUAUAAAAAAAUAAUUUAAAAGCCUAUGUAUAACUUUUUUUUUUUUUUUUUUGGAACGCAACUUUUAUAAAUUUUAAAAUGGGUUAUGCAGUAGAAACUGCUACACGGUUCAAUGCCUGUUUCGCUAAUCGAUCAGCAUCAACAUUCCUCAGCCGAGGUGUAACAGCCCGAUUCCCCGGAGUCCGACCGGGGUUAUCGAAGGGGCGUUAUGGACACGUGUCUACUCAUCUAGACAACCCUACGUGUCCCGUUACUGGUCCCGAGAGACGAGCGCAUAACCUUCUUUGAAAUACCGUCAUACCCACAUCCAUAUACUUCUACUUACAGUCCUGCGCACAGGAAAAAUGGAAAUGGAGGGGUGAGCAACAAGUUACUCAGUGAAGUGGUUCUAGACCAGCC